AUCGGGUUUAACUGUAAAUCGAUUUACUGACCUUUUAUAGCUCUUGCUUCAAUUUCCCUUAUUUUCCAAUUCAAUUUCUGAACACUGUGCUGUUUGUUAAUGAUUUUGGUUUUCUAACCUCUCCAUUCAACCGCUUCCCAGAUCCAACCUUGUUCAAUUUCCCGUUGGUUUCAAUUUUAUACUUGUUUUGAAAGUGGUUUUCUACCUUCUUCUUCAAUUUUGUUUUGGUUUCACUUUUGAAUUAACUUUGUGAAUUAGUUUCAAUAUUAAUUUUCCCAGAACCAUAAUCAAAAUCAAAAUAAAAGGAAAAAAAUUGAAAAUUGAAAAGGGCAACCGAUUUGUUAUUUUGUUCCAUCUCUUGUUUCAAUUUAUAAUGUUGUUUGGUGACCUGUUGCAUGCUGGAAAUUUUGAUUAAAAUUCUUUUUUUACAAAGUUAAAUACAUAUGUCUUAUUAAAUGAAUACGAAGGUGAAGACUUGGAAGUGUUGAUGAAUAACUAUUCGACUUGCCAAGUUAAAGUUACGCUUGUUUUUGUUGGCACUGGUUUCUUUAAUUAUAGUGAACAUUAUGCCGGUGUUUGUAAUGUACACAUGAUUUAAAUUUAUAGUCUUGGCUUCUUGAUAAUUAAUUAUUGGAUGUGGUAGUUAGUCAUGUGAAUCUAAAGCUGUAUAGUCAUGUUUAUGGUUUAAAUUAAAAUGAGAUGCAAUGUGGAUUUAUACAAAUCUAGGCUUUCUUCAAGUUCAUCCAUAAGAAGUGCAGAUUCCUUGCCUGAAUUAUAGGUGUUUUACGAAUUAUUUUUAAUUGAUUUUGAAAUAACAUGAAUGGGGAAAGGGGAAAUCGAUUUACUGACUUUUUCUAGUUCCUGGUUCAAUUUCGAUUCAAUGUCUGAACACUGUGUUGUUUGUCAAGGCUAAUUGGUUUUUUAAUUGGUUUCAAUUUUAAUUAUCCAUUAACCAUAAUCAAAAUUGAAGGGUGGUGGUGUCAACACCAGAUCGGAUUCCAAUUGCAAAUUUGGAGCUAUAAGAUUCAAACACGGCGGUGCUCGGAGACAACACGGUGGUUCAGUGGCGGUGGACAAAAAAGUUUGGAUGGGGUUUGCUUGGUUCUGUUCAUGUGCAAACAAGAAAGAAUGAAAGUCAUGAAAACUUGUUGUUUCUAAUGACAGCAUGUUGCUAAUUUCUAAAACAAUUGUUGUUUCAGAUAUGGGGGUGCAUCCAGCAAAAACAAAAAAACUAUUAUUUGAGAUUAAAAUAUGUUGCUUUUUUUUUAAUGGGAUUUAUU
rnacentral:lncRNA from 1 species